rnacentral:rRNA from 1 species
GAUGAACGCUGGCGGCGUGCCUAAUACAUGCAAGUCGAGCGAACAGACGAGGAGCUUGCUCCUCUGACGUUAGCGGCGGACGGGUGAGUAACACGUGGAUAACCUACCUAUAAGACUGGGAUAACUUCGGGAAACCGGAGCUAAUACCGGAUAAUAUAUUGAACCGCAUGGUUCAAUAGUGAAAGACGGUUUUGCUGUCACUUAUAGAUGGAUCCGCGCCGCAUUAGCUAGUUGGUAAGGUAACGGCUUACCAAGGCAACGAUGCGUAGCCGACCUGAGAGGGUGAUCGGCCACACUGGAACUGAGACACGGUCCAGACUCCUACGGGAGGCAGCAGUAGGGAAUCUUCCGCAAUGGGCGAAAGCCUGACGGAGCAACGCCGCGUGAGUGAUGAAGGUCUUCGGAUCGUAAAACUCUGUUAUUAGGGAAGGACAAAUGUGUAAGUAACUAUGCACGUCUUGACGGUACCUAAUCAGAAAGCCACGGCUAACUACGU